UACGGAGGGUGCAAACGUUGCUCGGAAUCAUUGGGCGUAAAGCGCACGUAGGCGGCCUGUUAAGUCGGGUGUGAAAGCCCUGGGCUCAACCCAGGAAGUGCACUCGAAACUGGCAGGCUUGAAUAUGGAAGAGGGUCGCGGAAUUCCCGGUGUAGAGGUGAAAUUCGUAGAUAUUCGGAGGAACACCAGUGGCGAAGGCGGCUCACUGGUCCAUUACUGACGCUGAGGUGCGAAAGCGUGGGGAGCAAACAGG
rnacentral:rRNA from 1 species